rnacentral:lncRNA from 1 species
CACCGGGCGUCCAUCUUGGUUUGAAAAGGAGGGAGCUGAUCUUUCUCCACUUCCUCGACACCAGUGUGUUGUUUUUUUGUGUGUGUUUGUAGCACUUGCAGGGGCGACGGCUCAUGGAAAGUCAGAUACGGAGGUGCAGCUCGCUCCCCGGCACUCGCAGCUGGCGGAAAGCUGCAUCCGUCAUGCAAAGAUCAUCCCCAUCCCGCUCUCUCUUUGAAGUGCUGGCUUGGAUGUGUUGGAGGCAACAUGGCUCCAUCCACACAACUUCUCUCCACAGAGAGGCACCAUGGCCAUGGCUGUUAACCAUGAAGCUGGAGCCAGACACGCCCAUCGCUUCCUCCUGUCUACAACAGCCUCUCCGGUGCUACCUUGAACAUAAAAUAUGCCAUCCAAGUGCGAGAAAGCCCAACGGACCGCUUAACACCCACUGUUCCAUCUGAGUAGGAGGUG